rnacentral:rRNA from 1 species
CCUACGGGAGGCAGCAGUGAGGAAUAUUGGUCAAUGGGCGGGAGCCUGAACCAGCCAAGUCGCGUGAGGGACGACGGUCCUAUGGAUUGUAAACCUCUUUUGUCGGGGAACAAAGGCGCCCACGGGUGGGCGGAUGAGUGUACCCGAAGAAAAAGCAUCGGCUAACUCCGUGCCAGCCGCCGCGGUAAUACGGAGGAUGCGAGCGUUAUCCGGAUUUAUGGGGUUUAAAGGGUGCGUAGGGGGGUAGUCAAGUUAGCGGUAAAAAUGCGGUGCUCAACGCCGUACAGCCGUUGAAACUGGCAGUCUUGAGUGGGCGAGAGGUAUGCGGAAUGCGUGGUGUAGCGGUGAAAUGCAUAGAUAUCACGCAGAACUCCGAUUGCGAAGGCAGCAUACCGGCGCCCGACUGACGCUGAGGCACGAAAGCGUGGGUAUCGAACAGGAUUAGAUACCCGGGUAGUC